rnacentral:rRNA from 1 species
AGUGAACGCUGGCGGUAGGCCUAACACAUGCAAGUCGAACGGCAGCACAGUAAGAGCUUGCUCUUACGGGUGGCGAGUGGCGGACGGGUGAGGAAUACAUCGGAAUCUACUUUUUCGUGGGGGAUAACGUAGGGAAACUUACGCUAAUACCGCAUACGCCCUACGGUUGAAAGCAGGGGAUCUUCGGACCUUGCGCGAUUGAAUGAGCCGAUGUCGGAUUAGCUAGUUGGCGGGGUAAAGGCCCACCAAGGCGACGAUCCGUAGCUGGUCUGAGAGGAUGAUCAGCCGCACUGGAAGUGAGACACGGUCAAGAGUCCUACGGGAGGCAGCAGUGGGGAAUAUUGGACAAUGGGCGCAAGCCUGAUCCAGCCAUACCGCGUGGGUGAAGAAGGCCUUCGGGUUGUAAAGCCCUUUUGUUGGGAAAGAAAAGCAGCAGGUUAAUACCCCGCUGUUCUGACGGUACCGAAAAAAUAAGCACCGGCUAACUUCGUG